rnacentral:rRNA from 1 species
CACGUAGGCACCAAGCGUUGUCCGGAUUUAUUGGGCGUAAAGAGCUCGUAGGCGGUUCGGUAAGUCGGGUGUGAAAACUUUGGGCUCAACCCAAAGCCUGCACUCGAUACUGCUGUGACUUGAGUCCGGUAGGGGAGUGGGGAAUUCCUGGUGUAGCGGUGGAAUGCGCAGAUAUCGGGAAGAACACCUAUGGCGAAGGCAGCUCUCUGGGACGGUACUGACGCUGAGACGCGAAAGCGUGGGGAGCGAACAGG